UACAUAUAUUCUGCUCAUUGUUAUUUAAUCCUCGUAGUUCUAAAUUAAUGUUAAAAUUUUAAAAAUCUAAUUCACCCUCCCUCUUGGGUUGCAUAGCUGGGAACACAAGGUCGAUAGAUUUCAUCUAGGUAAAUCCUACUCCAAACAGCAAACCUGAACCUACAAUAGCCAACAUAUACAGCAAAAACCCGAAUGGCUAGGGAUCAAGAG
rnacentral:lncRNA from 1 species